UCCCUGAUGGUCCAGUGGUUAGGACUUUGCAUUUCCACUGCUGGGCCCCAGGGUUCGAUCCCUGGUCAGGGAA